UGGAGCUGAAAUCAGUCGAAGAUACCAGCUGGCUGCAACUGUUUAUUAAAAACACAGCACUGUGCAAACACGAAAGUGGACGUAUACGGUGUGACGCCUGCCCGGUGCCGGAAGGUUAAUUGAUGGGGUUAGCCGCAAGGCGAAGCUCUUGAUCGAAGCCCCGGUAAACGGCGGCCGUAACUAUAACGGUCCUAAGGUAGCGAAAUUCCUUGUCGGGUAAGUUCCGACCUGCACGAAUGGCGUAAUGAUGGCCAGGCUGUCUCCACCCGAGACUCAGUGAAAUUGAACUCGCUGUGAAGAUGCAGUGUACCCGCGGCAAGACGGAAAGACCCCGUGAACCUUUACUAUAGCUUGACACUGAACAUUGAGCCUUGAUGUGUAGGAUAGGUGGGAGGCUUAGAAGUGUGGACGCCAGUCUGCAUGGAGCCGACCUUGAAAUACCACCCUUUAAUGUUUGAUGUUCUAACGUUGACCCGUAAUCCGGGUUGCGGACAGUGUCUGGUGGGUAGUUUGACUGGGGCGGUCUCCUCCUAAAGAGUAACGGAGGAGCACGAAGGUUGGCUAAUCCUGGUCGGACAUCAGGAGGUUAGUGCAAUGGCAUAAGCCAGCUUGACUGCGAGCGUGACGGCGCGAGCAGGUGCGAAAGCAGGUCAUAGUGAUCCGGUGGUUCUGAAUGGAAGGGCCAUCGCUCAACGGAUAAAAGGUACUCCGGGGAUAACAGGCUGAUACCGCCCAAGAGUUCAUAUCGACGGCGGUGUUUGGCACCUCGAUGUCGGCUCAUCACAUCCUGGGGCUGAAGUAGGUCCCAAGGGUAUGGCUGUUCGCCAUUUAAAGUGGUACGCGAGCUGGGUUUAGAACGUCGUGAGACAGUUCGGUCCCUAUCUGCCGUGGGCGCUGGAGAACUGAGGGGGGCUGCUCCUAGUACGAGAGGACCGGAGUGGACGCAUCACUGGUGUUCGGGUUGUCAUGCCAAUGGCACUGCCCGGUAGCUAAAUGCGGAAGAGAUAAGUGCUGAAAGCAUCUAAGCACGAAACUUGCCCCGAGAUGAGUUCUCCCUGACUCCUUGAGAGUCCUGAAGGAACGUUGAAGACGACGACGUUGAUAGGCCGGGUGUGUAAGCGCAGCGAUGCGUUGAGCUAACCGGUACUAAUGAACCGUGAGGCUUAACCUUACAACGCCGAAGGUGUUU
rnacentral:rRNA from 1 species